AUAUAUAGACGUAAUUCAUAAUAAUCUUAUAUCGCUCAAGUCUCACAAUCAACCUUCAUUUUCCCCAUAGUAUAGCAAAUGGAUCUUUUUCAUCCAUUCCCACCAAUUCCAGUCGUAAUUGCAACAGUAUUUGCCUUUCCUCUCUUUCUUUUCUCACUUCUAUGGAUAUCAAAGAGUGUCAAAAACAGAGACAAAAGGCGAGCAGCACCUGAAGCUGGCAGCUCAUGGCCUGUAAUCGGCCAUCUCCACCUCCUAGGAGGGCCGCAACCACCCCACAUUGUUCUCGGAGACAUGGCAGAGAAAUACGGUCCUAUCUUCACCAUCAAGAUGGGUGUUUAUAGAGCUUUGGUUGUCAACAAUUGGGAAACUGCCAAAGAGUGUUUAACCACAAACGACAAAGCUUUUGCCUCUCGUCCGAAGACUCUUGCUAUGGAGCUCUUGAGCUAUGACCACGCCAUGUUUGGCUUCGCCCCAUAUGGACCUUACUGGCGCCAAAUGCGUAAAGUCGCCACUCUUGAGCUCCUCUCGAGCUACCGCCUCGAUAGGCUCAAACAUGUCCGACAAUCUGAGAUAAAAACAUCCCUGAAAGAGUUGUACCAACACUGGAGCGAGAACAAAGACAGCUCUGAUAAGGUUUUGGUGGAGAUGAAGGCAUGGUUUAGAGAUGUAACUCUUAACGUGAUUCUUAGGAUGAUUGUUGGGAAGCGAAUUCCGAGUUCCGACAGUGAUGCAGAGGGCGAGAGAUGGAAAGACGCGUUGCGGGACUUCUUUGACUUGAGUGGGAAGUUUGUGAUAUCUGAUGCGUUGCCGUUUUUAAAAUGGUUGGACAUCGGGGGAGACGAGAGGUUCAUGAAGAAGGUAACAAAAGAACUAGACGAAGUUGCAGAGGGAUGGUUACAAGAUCACAAGCGAAUGAAAGCUUCAGGUAAUCAGGAGAGCGACCAAGAUUUUAUGGAUGUGAUGUUUUCAAUCCUCAGUGACGUUGGCAAGCAUGAUGCUGAUACCAUCAACAAAGCCACCUGUCUGGUACGAAUUUGUCACCCAAACUUUUAUUUGCCUAACAUUGUUAGUACUUACUAAUUGAUUUGUGUUGUAGGCCAUCCUUAAGUCCAAAAAUGGAAAUAAAAUAGAUGUCGAGGCUAUUAAGGCUUUGUUUAAAAUUCUUAUUUCUUGAUGUAAAAUCUUAUGUGCAAUUUCAUUCUGAAGUAUAAAUCAACCUUCUUGCAGGCUAUGAUCUUAGCAGCCUCUGAUACAACAAUGGUUACAUUGACAUGGGCUUUGUCUUUACUACUUAACAACCGCGGUGCACUGAAAAAAGCACAAGAAGAAUUAGACAUCCAUGUUGGUAGAGACAAACUAGUUGAAGAAUCAGACAUUAAAAAGUUAGUCUACCUUCGAGCAAUCCUCAAGGAAACGCUGCGUUUAUACCCUGCUGGACCACUUUCAUUGCCGCAUGAGUCCAUGGAAGACUGCAUCGUUAGUGGCUACCAUAUCCCGGCAGGCACACGACUUCUCAUCAAUGUUUACAAAAUUCAUCGUGAUCCACGUGUAUGGUCGGAUCCUUGCGAAUUUCAGCCAGAAAGAUUCCUAACUACCUACAAGGAUUUUGAUGUUAGAGGCCAGAAUUUCGAGCUGAUCCCAUUUGGAAGCGGUAGAAGAAUGUGUCCUGGAGUUUCCUUUGCGCUCCAAGUGUUGGAGCUGACGCUUGCUAAUCUACUGCAAGGGUUCGAGUUAGGAACCCCUUUAGAUGAACCGGUUGAUAUGAGUGAAGCAAUGGGGCUCACAAACUUGAAGGCUUCUCCCCUCGAAGUCUUGAUUACUCCACGUCUUCCUGCUGUUUGCUAUUAGCUUGUAUGAUUUUGCAACAAUAAAUGAACUUCAGCUUAAUUUUAGGCUGUUCUAGUAUAAUAGCAUUUUGUAACUUUAUGAAUAAUGAAACCUUGUUUGUUCAAGCUCUGAACAAUGGUUUGUCAGUCAGAGCAAAUAAACAGAGGCUCACUACGAGAAUACAAUACACAAUUUACUAGCUACAAUUGUAAAGCGUAAUAUCACAACUACUCAGUGCCAAGGUUAGCAAGAACCAAGCAAGAUCUGAAAACAGAACUUCCAGUUCUUGCAAAACUUGGGUCCCACUUGCAUGAACAACUCUUACAGUAACACAGCAAAGAGGUACAUAGGAAUAUUUCAUGGAUGUGAUGCUGUCAAUUGUCACCGACACUGAGGUGCACGAUGUUGAUACCAUGAAAACAAAGCGACGUCCCUGGCAUGAACUAAUUUGAUUUGUUAACUAGUAACUUUCCCUUAUCGUUUAAACAUUUUCAGCCAAAUUAAUAGGUAGAGCAGUAAGUAUUUAGUGCAGGGUAGCGAGCAGCCUAGCAUCACAUACGUCCAAAAUGGAAAAGGAUAAACAAAUUAGACAGUUGAACAAUGAACACAAAAGACCUGGGAAAAAAUGCUAGAAUCUAGAAUCACUUCUGUUCCAAACCCCAGCUGAGCUAAUGGUAGGUUCAUGCAUGAUAAAUUGCACGUAAAUUAGUUCAUAAUGCUUUACCCUUGACUGCUUGUCAAAAUCCACAAUGGAAUAUAAACUUAAGUUGAUUUAUGAAAGUAAUGAGUAAUAUUUUUUUCUAGUUCUUUCCCUCUCUUCUAGUUCUUUCUUUAUUUUUUUCUUUACUCCAAUUAUCCGGAAUGGCACAAGUGAACAAUCCAACAGAGUAUAUGUAAUCUGAUUGUGGGUGUUUACUACUUGGGUGUCUCUGAGCUGUUCAAGUAUGUUCCUGCGUUAAUGCAGUUUUCUCAUAAGGUGUCUGUGAUGUUGCUGUUUUAUGUUAUCUGUGUUUACAUUCUGCUGUUAGGUCUUUCUGGUGUAAUUCGUUCUUCAUUGUAGGAUGGGUUUCCAUUCGGUGAACAAUCGUUAUGGAGUGUCUUACACCACUCGUCCAACUAUUGCUGUCACGACGAUCUUGGGCUAUAACAAUGCCAUGAUUGGUUUCGCCCACUAUCCAUGAUUGCUCAUGGUGAAAAUUGAAAAUUUUGUCCUAUGAUUUAUCACUUGCUGUUAACUUGGUUCUGUUUCUGUUACAUAUUCAAUAAAAUCACAAUCAAUUGAGGAAAAAAAAAAGGUUGUUUAUGUCCUUUUAGAAUCAAGAAUUCAAUUAAUCAAUUAUCUAUCAAGGAGAAAAAGAAGGUUGAGGAAAUUAACUACCUAAGAAUUAAAUGAUUUUUUUAAUUCCCAAAGAGUAUUCAUUAUUAUUAACAAUAUAAAUGGAUAAAGUAUCUACCUAACCUUAUUAAAACUUGAAAAAAUCAUAAAAUACUAUUCAAAAUUGAACAUUAAUAAUAUAUUACUCAAAUCUGUUUAAUACCCAAUUAAAUAAUUUGAACAAUAACUUAAAUAACAAAAAAUUAUAUAAAAAAUUAAUGUUAUAUGCAUUAGUUUACGAAAAAGAAAGUUGAUUAAGAUAGCAAAAAUUGUAUUGAAAGUAACAAAAAUGAAGAUCUAAAUCUUACAAAUUACAAAUUUUUGAAAUAUUAUAGUAAUAUUAAUAUAUAUGUACAAUCGAAUUCGAGUUUACAAUAUUUUAAUAAUAAUUUUUUAAACUUACCCCGAUCUUAAAAUAUUUUAAAACCGAAUCCAAGUCAAGUAUUAAAAAAAUUACUUGAGUUCACCCGACCCAAUUUAUCCUUUUGUCUUAUUAUCGUAGUCUUUAAAAGAUUGUAUAGAUCCAACACGAUCAUUUGGCCCACACAUGUGCUAUUUUGGGAAGAUUCAAUUCGAUCAAAAAGACUACUUUCGGACCACAAGAAAUUGUUGUUAGCGGCCAAAAAUUUACUCCUAGUCACAUUGUCCAAGUGCAUUUCCUGAAAACAAUAGUGAGAUAUGGCUUUCUUUUUAAUAUGUAGUUAAAUUAAAAUAAAUUUAAUUUAUUAAUAAAAAUUUAUUAUUUUAUUAAUAAUUAUAUAUCAAUUAAUAAAUUAAAUAUUUAAAUACAUUACAUAAUUUAACUAAAUGAAUAGAAUUUAGGCAUCUUGAUUUGACCCAAUCAAUUAGUACAAUUGAUUAAGAUAUUUUGAUUUGACCCAACCAAUUGAUACGAUUUAUUAAGAUCCAACCAAUUGACACUAUUUACGAGGACAUUUUGGAUUGAUCUAAGCACUUGGUACGUUUGAUUAAGACAUUUUACCUUUCAAAAAUGAGAUAUGAAAUUUCAUCGAUUUAACUUCAGACCUUGGCCAACCACACAUGUUUUUUUGUUGUUUUUGUUUUUUUUUUUAAAUAUAUUUAUUAAUGUGAAGAACUAGAAUCAGUAUGUCAUUUCAAAUUUUAACCCUCAUGACAUAAUUAAGGACUUAGUAUGGAUUUAUUGUGUUCUUUUUAACUAUGUAAUAUUAAAUAAGGUCUUUUGAACUGCUCCUUGUACGAUAAUAAUGGUGAAGUCCCAUUUGUCCCAGCCUAAUCCAACCUAAUUCAUAAGAUUUGUCGAGGAAAUGGCUUAGAACAAGACAGAAUUAAUGUCAGCUUUCAUUUGUUUCUAACCUAAUUUUUUCCUUGUCUAAUUAUUGUACUCUUCCACACAUGUACGAUUUUGGGAAGAUUAAAUUCGAUCAAAAAAGACUGCUUUCGAACCACAAGAAAUUGUUGUUAGGAGCCCAAAAUUUACUCUUAGCCACAUUAUCCAAGUGCAUUUUCUGAAAACAAUAGUGAGAUAUGGCUUUCCUUUUUAUAUGUAAAUUAGAUUACAUUUAAUUUACUAAUAAAGAGCUAUUAUUCUUUUGGCAAUAACAAAGUACUUAAAAUACUUAGCAUUCGUCAAUAUCAAUAUCACAUUAAUUGUAACCAUCAAGAGAAUCUUUAUUCCAAAAAAAAAAGAAGAAAAGGUGAGAAGAUUACAUUACUAUUGUUAGGAUUCUUCAGACUAAUAAUUUAAUCUUUUUUGCUUUUUAUUCGUGGGACCCAAAGGCUUCAAUUAUCUACUUGAUUGAAUUAGAUACAAUACAAGAUUGAAUUGGAACAAGAAAAAGGUGCCAAAUAUUUUUCUACAUUAUUCUUAUCCUUUAGGCCUCGACCAACCAGACAUUUUUUGUUUCUAUUGUGUUUUUUUUUUUUAAAGAAAAACAUAAUUAUUAAUGUCGAGAACAAGAACCAAUAUAUCAUUUUAAGUCUCUUAAUUGAUAGAAAAUUUUUCAUGACAUAAGCACUUAGUAUGGGUUUACUGUGUUCUUUUUAACUAUGUAAUAUUUCAUCUAUUUAACAAGGUCCUUUUAAAAUGCUCCUUGUAAGAUAAUAAUUGUGAUGUCCCAAUCGUCCCAGCCUCAUCCAACUACUCUACUGUUAUAUAUAGACGUAAUUCAUAAUAAUCUUAUAUCUCCCAAGUCUCACAUUUAACCUCCAUUUCCCCCAUAGUAUAGCAAUGGAUCUUUUUCAUCCAUUCCCACCAAUUCCAGUCGUAAUUGCAACUGUAUUUGCCUUUCCACUCUUUCUUUUCUCACUUCUAUGGAUAUCAAAGAGUGUCCAAAACAGAGACAAAAAGAGAGCAGCACCUCAAGCUGGCAGCUUAUGGCCUGUAAUCGGCCAUCUCCACCUCCUAGGAGGGCCGCAACCACCUCACAUAGUUCUCGGAGACAUGGCGGACAAAUACGGUCCUAUAUUCACCAUCAAGGUGGGUGCUUAUAGAGCUUUGGUUGUCAGCAACUGGGAAACUGCCAAAGAGUGCUUAACCACAAACGACAAAGCCUUUGCUUCUCGUCCGAAGACUCAUGCUAUAGACUUCUUGAGCUAUGACCACGCCAUGUUUGGCUUCGCUUCUUAUGGACCACACUGGCGCCAAAUGCGUAAAGUUGCCACUCUUGAGCUCCUCUCGAACUACAGGCUCGAUAUGCUCAAACAUGUCCGACGAUCUGAGAUAAAGACAUCCCUGAAAGAGUUAUUUCAACUCUGGAGCGAGAACAAAGACAGCUCUGAUAAGGUUUUGUUGGACAUGAAGGCAUGGUUUAGAGAUGUAACCCUUAACGUGAUGCUCAGGAUGAUUGUUGGGAAGCGAAUUCCGAGUUCCGGCAGUGAUGCUGAGGGCGAGAGAUGGAAAGACGCGUUGCAGGACUUCUUUGACUUGUGUGGGAAGUUUGUGAUAUCGGAUGCGUUGCCGUUUUUAAGAUGGUUGGACGUCGGGGGAGACGAGAAGUUCAUGAAGAAGGUAAGAAAAGAACUAGAUGAAGUUGCAGAGGGAUGGUUACAAGAUCACAAGAAAAAGACAGCUUCAGGUAAUCAGGAGAGCGAUCAAGAUUUUAUGGAUGUGAUGUUUUCAAUCCUCAGUACUGACGCUGGCAAGCAUGAUGCUGAAACCAUCAACAAAGCCAAUUGCCUGGUACGAAUUAGUGAAUUGUCACCCAAGCUUUUAUUUGCCUACCAUUGUUAGCACUUACUGAUUGAUCUAAGUUGUGGGCAAUCGUAACUCCAAAAGAAAAUAAAAUAGACGUCGAGGCUUUUACAGAUUUUAUUUAAAAUUUUUAGUUCUCGAUGUAAAAUUGUUUGUGCAAUUUCAUUAUGAUAUGGUAUAUAUCAACCUUUUUGCAGAAUUUGAUCUUAGCAGGCUUUGAUACAACAACGGUUACACUGACAUGGGCUUUGUCUUUACUACUUAACAACCGCGACGCACUGAAAAAAGCACAAGAAGAAUUAGACAUCCAUGUUGGUAGAGACAAACUAGUUGAGGAAUCAGACGUUAAAAAGUUAAUCUACCUUCAAGCCAUCGUCAAGGAAACGCUGCGUUUAUACCCUGCCGGACCACUUUCAGUGCCGCAUGAAUCCACGGAAGACUGCACCGUGAGUGGCUACCAUAUCCCCGCAGGCACACGACUUCUCAUCAAUCUUUACAAAAUUCAUCGUGAUCCACGUGUAUGGUCCGAUCCUUGUGAAUUUCAACCAGAAAGAUUCCUAACUACCUACAAAGAUUUUGAUGUGAGAGGCCAGAAUUUCGAGCUGAUCCCAUUUGGAAGCGGUAGAAGAAUGUGUCCUGGAGUUUCCUUUGCGCUCCAAGUGUUGGAGCUGACGCUAGCUAAUCUACUGCAAGGGUUCGAGUUAGGGACCCCUUUAGAUGAACUGGUUGAUAUGAGUGAGGCAAUAGGGAUGACAAACUUGAAGGCCUCUCCCCUCGAAGUCUUGAUUACUCCACGUCUUCCUGCUGUUUGUUAUUAGCUUGAAUGAUUAGCAACAAUAAAUGAAACUUCAGCUUAAUUACUUUUAGGCUAUUAAUGGCCACCAUACCCCUGCAGGCACAGAACUUUUCUUCAAUGCUUACAAAAAUCCAUCGUGAUUACAAGUUUCAACCACAAAGGUUUUUGACUACUUACAAAAAUUUUGAUGUAAGGUGUCAGGAUUUUGAGUCGAUACCAUUUAGUAGUGGUAGAAGAAUGUGCCCAGGAGUUCCCUCUGCGGUUCAGGUUAUGCCGCCUAUUUGCUCCAUGGGUUUGACAUAGCAACGCCAUUCGAUGAACCCUACCCAAACCAAGAAAAGCAAUCCGACAUGACACAAACCAUCAAAAUGCUGAGCCACCCACUGGCAAACGACAAAAUUUAAGACCGUCCCACUAGCUUUUCAAAUGUAGAAAAUCCAAGUGAUGUACAUAUAUAGAUAUAUAUGAUCUAGAUGAAAAUGACUUCAUUAGCAUAUCUCCUUUCAGCUAACUUCUAUUUAAUAUUCGAGUGAUGAGCCAUGUGUUGGCAAAUUGAUUUAACUGCAUUUAGUUAAGCCUCAUCUGAAUUAUAUAAGCAACUUAACUAUUUGGGAUGCCAGACUCAAAAGUUUUUUAUAUAUAAACAAAGAAGAUCUCAACCUUAAUCUAUUUGAUUCCAAUCAAAAUUAAAUAUUUCCCUCAAUACGCAACCUCCACUUUCUAAAUAAUGCUAUUAAUCUACUGUUUUUCAUUACAAUUAUUUGUUUAUUUUUUAAAAUAUCACGUAACAGUGAAUUUUUAUCAUACAAAAUCAAUCGAUUCUUAAAUGGAUCCAUUAUUAAUUCAUAAAUAAAAUUAUUAAAGUUUAACUAAUUAAAUAAGAUUAAUCAAAAUAGUGGAGAUAAGAGUCGAAUGGAGAUGAGAAUCGUGUGGUCGUGUGGUGGAAGGCAAAAACGAUACUAACUGUCAAACUAUCUUGUCUUUAGGUUUUGUCAUCUUCGUUCCAAGACCUCAAAUUACAGAAGUUAUCUUCAUUCCAAGACCUCAAAGUACAGAAGUAAGAGCUUUCAGCCAUGGAAACCCUCCUUCCAAGCCCUGCAAGUUGGAUGGCUGGCGUCUUUGCCUUUUUGAUCUUCUGCUAUUUGUUAUUUACGAGAGUGAUUAAUCGAACAGGCUCGGGCAUGAAGAGAAAAGCUCCGGAAGUGAGCGGUGGAAGGCCAUUUCUAGGCCACCUCCACCUGUUAGGAGGGUCAAAACCAGCCCACGUCGUUUUGGGUGACUUGGCUGACACAUAUGGACCGAUCUUCACCAUCAGGUUAGGCAUGCACCCAACUCUAGUCGUAAGCAAUUGGGAGAUUGCUAAAGAGUGUUUCACCACCAACGAUAAAGCAUUUGCCAACCGUCCAAGAACUCUAGCUGCAGAGCUCUUGGGCUACAAUUAUGCUAUGUUUGGUUUCAGCCCUUACGGCCCCUACUGGCGCCAAAUUCGCAAGAUAGCGACGCUCGAGGUACUGUCGAACCACCGCCUGGAGAAGCUCAAACAUAUACGAGAAUCCGAGGUUAGGACAUCGAUUAAAGAACUUUACGAGUUAGGGGUUGAGGGCGUAAGCAAUAGUAGUUCAGGAAAGGUGCUUGUGGAGAUGAAGAGAUGGUUUUGGACCUUAAACAUAAACAUGGUUUUCAAGAUGGUUGUAGGGAAGAGAUACUCUGAGGCUGAAACUUCGCACGGGAAAGACGAGAACGAUGGACGCAGAAAAGCCUUGAGGGAUUUCUUUGAACUGACGGGAACGUUCACGGUUGGGGACUCGCUGCCUUUCUUGAGGUGGUUGGAUCUAGGAGGACAUGAGAAGGCCAUGAAGAAGACGGCAAAAGAACUGGACCACAUCCUUGAGGAAUGGUUAGAGGAGCAUAAGCAGAAGAGAAAUUCAGGCAACGCGGAAAGUGAGCAUGACUUCAUGGGCAUGAUGUUGUCGCUUCUUAACGAUGCUGCAGAGCUCCCUAGCUAUGACGCUGAUACAAUCAACAAAGCCACAUGCCUGGUGAGUUCUUACCUAACUUUUGUUUCAGAAUCACAUCUUUUCCUGUUUGCUUUUCUGGUUAAUCACAAGACCACUCCAAUCAAGAUCCAACUCAAUUGUCCGACUAUAACCAGAACCGGGACCAAUCAAGGGUCCAUUUGUUUUGCAUUAAAAUAUUUUUAAAAAAUAUUUUUAAGACUUAUAUUUGUUUAGCAGACGAAAAAUUAAUUUUAGAUGUAAAAGAUUUUACGAAUCAAUAAAGUUAAUCAUAAAAAAUAUCUUACGCUAUUGAAAGACGUAAAACAUUUUUUAUAAAACAAUAAAAACACUUUUAUAUUAAGUUUAUGAGUAUAAGUUUGAUAAAUAUUAAUAUUUAAAUUAUACAAAAUAAUUAAAAUUAAAANUGAUGUUAAAUAUUUUUAAAAAAAUAUUUUAAGACUUAUAUUUGUUUAGCAGACGAAAAAUUAAUUUUAGAUGCAAAAUAUUUUACAAGUCAACAAGAGUUAAUUAUAGAAAAUGUCUUACACCCUGGAAGAGUGUAAAACAUUUUUCAGAAAACAACAAAAAUACUUUUAUAUUAAGUUUAUGAGUAUAAGUUUGAUAAAUAUUAAUAUUUAAAUUAAAAUAUCUAAAAUUGAAAAAUAAUAUUUUGAUGAAACCAUUUAAUACAAUUAAAUAUUUUAUUUAUAAAUAGAAUAAAUCUAACUAAUAAUUACAAUAAAAAAAAUUUCAAUGAUCAUCAUUUGAUGAAUACACAUUUAUAAUAAAUUUAAAUCUUACUAAUAAUUAUAAUAAAAUAUUUAAUAAUUAUUUUUUAAUGAAUACAUAUUUAUAAGUAUAAAUUUUAAAUAUCUUACACAAUUGAUGAAUAUUUAUAUUUUUAUAGCUAUGAUAAAAAAGUGAUAAGAUGGAAAUUUUUUGAAAAUUAGAGUUUAUUUUUAUUAUAGAUUUAUGGUUAAAUUUUUGAGAAAUAUCAUUAUUGAUUUUAUCCAUUUUCAUUUCCAUUCUUAAUUUUGAUCCCAAAUUAGUGAAUAUCAAAUAUCAAUAUUAUUUUUUAUUCAACUCUCAUUUAUUAUUUAACACCUAAAUAACUCCACCAUGAUGAAAAAUAUUUUUCACAAAAUGAUCUAAACAAUAGAAAAUGUUUUCGACAGUUGAUCUAAACAACAAAAAAUAUUAAAUUUCUCUGUAAAACAUUUUACCCAGAAAAAAUUUGUCUCUAGCAAGUCAUUUUUUGGUUACCAUACGGAUCCCAAAACUCAAAAACAGAACACAACCACAAGUCAAAGAAGUUACCAUCACAAACCAUGUGGCCAUAACAUUUGCUUAUACAGAAGAGAAGAACCCACUCACAAGUUAAUUACCUGCAAAAGAUUUCCCAGCUUUGGCAAGAGCAUCCGCCAGAUCGUUGGCAACUCGAGAAACCAAAUGCCCACUUGAGUUUUAGUACUUUCACUGCCUAGAAUUCCUUCAAUCAUGUCAUCUAACCUUUACUCACCGAGUAAUUCUUAUUUUGAUAAAAUCAAAUAAUUGAAAAAAUACCCAAACAUUUGACAUUGAACAACAUGUCAAAUCUACGAAGCCAAAUAAAUCAAAUGAUGAUGACAAAUAACACCAUAUAUAUUCUACUCGUCGCCUAUCUUGUUUGAAAAAGCAACGUUCCCUGUUGCACCACAACGAUUGAUUAACAUACAUUCAAUCUCUUGUUUUCACACCAAACAGAUGGUCAAGUUGCUAUCCAGUACUAACUCCUCUUUCAGGGACCACUUUAAUUUCCUUGAGGGAAUUAUUUAACACCAUUAAUCUUUUCCCCCUAAACAUACGGAAAAUUGUCGGCCAAGCUUCUUAAUUAACGUAUCUCAUCGUCCAAGCAAGGAUUGAAGAUAAAGCUAAAACUAGAUGGCUUCCAAAUUGCAUUCUAAAUCCCAUGAUAUAGAGUUUAAAUAUAAACUAAAUAUAUAUAUAUAUAUUUUUAAAUAUAAACUAUAUAGCACUACUCAAAUGAGCUGCAUGUUCAUCUAUGUCACAUAUAUAAUCUUUUUUGUGAAAAAAAAAAGUGCUAGUGUUCCAUGGAUGACCAUAUAGAAUAUAUUUUCUUUAUUUUCUUUUGUAACUUUUGUUUCAAUAAAUUUAUUCCACCUAAUCAUAAAACAAUAAUUUACUCAUCAAUAAUAAAUCUUGCUUUUGAAAAUAAUAGUAAUUUAGUACAUGCUUAGUCAGAAAGUAUAAAUAAUUUUUUUUAUAAAGGCUAUGGAAUGAUUGAGAUACAAAAAGUGACCAAACAAGUAACAUGAUUCAAAAAAAGAAUAGUUUAGUUGAACACGGAUCCAAUUUUUGCAUGCAUUAAUGUGGAAAACGCCUUGAAACUUCCUGGUAAUCACCCGAACUGCCCCAUUUGGUCUUUGUCACACAUCAAUAAGCUGUCACCUUAAGGUUCAAUAGUCCAUGGUGUGACUAUUUUAAUAGAAAGUCAUCAAUCUCACAUUAUUGAUGUAACAUCAUUUUUAAUUUGUUAAUCAUUUUUUAUGAGAUAAAAUUAUGAAACUUAAUGAUUCAAAAUAGAUAAUUUGAUUUUAGAUGUUUAACCUUUUUAUUGAGCCCAAAGGCCAAGUCAAAAUGUACCCCUUUUCAUAUCCACAGCCUAAAGGCAUUUAAUACUUCCUUUUUGGGCCAUUAUCAUUGGCAGGCUAUAAUUUUGGGUGGCACAGACACCACGACAGUGACUAUAACAUGGGCUCUAUCCUUACUACUCAACCACCACCAUGUCCUGGAAAAAGCCCAACAUGAAUUGGACACCUACGUUGGUAGAGAAAGGCCGGUGCAAGAAUCGGACGUCAAGAACUUGGUCUACCUCCAAGCCAUCAUCAAGGAAACAACUCGCUUGUACCCAGCUGCCCCACUCUCCGUGAUGCAUGAGUCCGUCGAGGACUGCACCACCGCCGGCUACUUAAUCCCGGCUGGAACACGCCUUCUAGUAAAUCUUUCCAAGCUUCAGCGUGAUCCGAAAGCCUGGUCCAAUCCGGACGAGUUUCGGCCUGAAAGGUUUCUCACAACCCACAAGCAUUUCGAGGUCAGGGGACAAAACUACGAAUUGGUUCCAUUUGGUAGCGGUCGAAGAGUGUGCCCUGGAAUUUCGUUUGCGCUUCAGGUUUUGCAGCUCAACCUUGCUAGUUUGCUACAAGCUUUUGAGAUCACAACCCCGUCGGAUGAGCCAGUCGACAUGGGUGAGGGAGCCGGUUUGACUAAUCUCAAAGCCACGCCACUCGAAGUCAGUCUCACCCCUCGCCUUCCUCCUCAUCUCUAUAAAUAAAUUCACAGCUGUUUUUCUCCAAAUAAUUUUGCUAGUUUACGAGCUGUUGGGCAUAUGAUAUUGCCUCUGCUCCUAGGAAUGAAACACUCUUGAUGUCGAACUUAAAUAGUUAUGCAGAAAUCCAUCGUGAUUACAAGUUUCAACCAGAAAGGUUUUUGACUAUUUACAAAAAUUUCGAUUUAAGGGGUCAGAAUUUUGAGUCGAUACCAUUUAGUAGUGGUCGAAGACUGUGCCCAGGAGCUCCCUCUGCGCUUCAGUUUAUGCAGCGAAUUUGCUGCAUGGGUUUGACAUAGCAACGCCCUUCCAUGAACUCUGUUGAUAUGCACGAGGCAAAUAUUUCAUGUUGGGCUUUGUGUACCAGCUUCGGUUUCGACGCCCAAACCAGCACUCAGACAUGACACGAACCACCAAAAUGCAGAGCCACCAUUGGCAUCACACUGACUUUUCAGGUAUGGAGAAUCCAAAUGAUGUAAAAACCAAUAUAUACAUGAUCUACAUGAAAAUGACUUGGGCAUUUCUCCUUUCAGUUAACUUCCAUUUAAUAUUCGAGUGAUGAGCAAUGUGCUGGCAAGCUGAUCAAUGAACUGCAUUUAGUUAAGUCUCAUGUGAAUCAUAAGCAACUUAAUAAUCUGGGGUUCCAGACUCAGAUAGUUUUUUAUUUUUUACAGAGACGAUUUCAACCCUUAAUUUAUUUGAUUCCACAGGAAAUACAUGCAUUCAAGACAAUUAAAUAUUUCCUUCAAUAGGUAGCCUCCACUUUCCAUUACAAUUAUUAUUCUCACUUGACGUACUAAUAAUUCUUUUUUUCAUUUUUAACAAAAUCGAUCAAUUCCUAAAUGGGUUAAUUAUACUUAUAUUAAGAAAAGGAAAGUAAUUGUGAACUUUAAACAGAUAAGAGUCGCAUGGUGGCAGGCAAAAACACUGUACAGUAUCACAGUGACAAUAUCUUUUGCAGCGUCGGUAACGUCGGUCACUAUAAAAAUACAUAAUUAGGUUGUUUUCAUCUUUAUUCCAUGGCCUCAAACUCCAGAAGUAAGAACUAUCAGCAAUGGAAACCCUCCUUCCAAGCCCUGCAAAUGGGAUGGCUGGCGUCUUUACCUUCUUCAUCUUCUGCUCAUUACAAAAAAUUUGGCUAUUUCCAACGGAAUUUUUCGUUGGAAAUAGGCAUUUUUUCAUUGAAAAUGUUUAUUUUCAACGAAAAAGUCUGUUAAAAUUCCAUCGGUACAAGUCUUGUGGGUAAUAUUUUCUAUUGAAAAUUUGAAAUUUUGCCAAUUUUUUUUAGAAAUCCAUUGGAAAAGAAAAUUUCAACAAAAAUUUUCCAACGAAAAUUUCUGUUGGAAAGCCUAUUUCCAACAGAAAAUCCAUUGAAAAUUUUCAACAGAAUUUUCGUUGGAAAUCCUAUUUCCAACAGAAAAAUCUAUUGAAAUUUUUUUCAUUGGAAAAAUUAUUUCCAACAGAAAUUUCCGUUGGAAAUGCUAUUUCCAACUGAAAAACAUUUUGGCAUUUCCAACGAAAAUUUCCGUGGGAAAUAAUUUUUCCAACAGAAAUUUCCGCUGAAAAUAACUUUUCCAACGGAAUUUUUCGUUGGAAAUAUUUUAACCUAUUAUUUUUAUAAUAAAUUUUCAGAAACAAUUAUCAAUUUUCAUUCCGAUACUAAAUUUAAUUAUGUAUUCGAACUGUAAAAUAUAUAAAAAAAUACAUUACAAAAUUAAGAUUCAAGUCCUAACAUCUAAUUAGAAAUUAUCCUUAACACAUAAUAUAUAAAAUAGUUUGAUACAUAUGAAUAUUAAACAUAACUAAAUUAAAAAGUAUCCAAGUGUUUGCACUGAAAAUUAUACAUCAUGUGAGGGAAUUUUUUUCUUACUUGUCAAGUCUUGAAGGUCCCGCAUCGUGAAUGGUUGAACGCGCAUUACUCAGGAACGUGGUUUUCAUACGUGCCAUAAAUUCACUCAUGCCUUCCGCCAUCACAUUUCUCAUUUCUUCACGUAUUUUUUCACGUAUUUCCUCACAUAUCUUAUUCAAAUUUUUCAUCAAUCUCAUUAACACAUCGAGAAAUGUUCGACGCAAAACCAUCUGGUAAUCUCAAUUGUUUAACCCAAGCACAAACAUUUCUUAUUUCCUCCUUAUUUAAUGUAUACGUAGCCUUAGGCUUGUACAGUUUUCUAUUAUUUUUUACCAAUUCCAAUUCUAGCCACUUGCAACACACUUUCAAAUCUUGUCAUGCUUUUAUGUUGUCCUUUGUCAUUCCUUUAACAUCUAUCACUGUGUUGAAUAUAUUCUCAAAAAAAUUAUGUUCAAUAUGCAUAACAUCUAAAUUGUGACGAAUAAGAAGUGUAUGCCAAUAAGGUAGAGCCUAAAAUAUAUUCUUCUUCACCCAAUUAUGACAAACACCAUAUCCUGAACUCUUUCGCUCACCACAUUUUGUUCCGAAUGGGAGAUGAGGAAGCGAAUUCAAACGUGUCAAUAUUUCUUCGCCUGAUAAUCGAGGAAAUGGUAAGUCAUGUUCAAAUCUUUUUUUAAUAAAUUUGUCUCUCUGCCUCCUAAAAGGAUGAUUAGCUGACAAAAAUUACCGAUGACGAUCAAAGAAACAAGGUUUCCUACCAUGUUCUAAUAUGAAAGAUUUAGAAUGUUUCAUGCAAUAUGGACAUGAUAAUCGUCCAUGUGUACUCCACCCUAAUAACAUACCAUAAGCAGGAAAAUCAUUAAUUGUCCACAAUAAUGUUGCCCUCAUAUGAAAAUUUUGUUUCCAAAGCCAACCUUAGCCUUUGACUGAAGUUAAAGCAAUGAAACGUUUAGUCUUGUAACCCUAAAUCAAAUAAUUAAAACACAAUAAAAUCAUUAAAAAUACCUAGGUCGCAUCAAUUGAUAAACUGAUAACCCUAAAAGUCAAAUAAACAAGAUAUACAAAAUUAACCCCUAGGGCAACUCUAUGUCAUCGGGUCGGGUACCCUAUAAUUUCGAAGUACCUGAACCCUAACCCUAUUAACUACCCGCAUAAUAACCCUAAUUACUUCCCUAACCCUAACCCUAUUACAUUUUUACUAUCCUAUAAUUACCCUAAUCCGUUUAAAAACCCGAUUAUAUUAACAACUUAUUAAAAUCUUCUUCAUAAAAUUUCUCAACGUAUACCCGAAUCCGUAUACAUAUACAAUAAUACGUGUUUACGUAUUUCAUAAAAUUAACUACUAAUUAAAUUAAUAAAAAUAAAAAUAAUAAAAUUUAAAAAGAAAUACAUGAAAACAAAAAUCUUAAAUAUAAACUUAAAUAACUAAAAACAAACAUCUGGGGAACCAGAAAACAGCAUUCCCACCAAAAGUCAAGUUUGAAAGUACUAAUUGCAAUCUGGGAUAAUGAAAAAGUCUCGAGUAAACUAAUGACAACAUCGACAUUAGCAUGUUCCAAUAAUUUUUAGGGUAUCAUUUUUCAAUAACAGACAGUACUAAUAUCAUUAAAAUAUUAACAGACAACAAUAGCAACACAUCAACUCCAAAAAACUGUCUGAAGCAGUCAAUAAACUAGUAUCAUUUUUCAAUAACAGACAGCACUAAUUGAAGCAAAAAAUCUUGUUUGCAUAACAAUUAUUAAGAAUGAAUCUAGUUUAACAAAAUCCUAUACCAAAAUCUCAUCUGGGGAAGAACAAGGGCGUGGGGCUUAGGGCGACACCGAGGCAGCCGGCAGGGCGUGGCUGUGGCUUGGUGGUUGGAGAGAAAAGAAAGCUGAACCGAUGAAGGAGCCAAGUGUGGCGUGGUAGGUCGGCAGCUAGGGAAGAACAAGGGCGUGGGGCUUGGGGAGACACCGAGGCUGCCGACAAGGCGUGGCUGUGGUUGUGGCUAUGGUUGGGUGGUUGGAGAGAAAAGAAAGCUGAACCGAUGAAGGAGCCGAGCUUGGCAUGGUAGGUCGGCAGUUGACGAGCGUGGCAUGGUAGGCUGGUAACUGGGGUCGGGGAAGAAAAAGGAGUCGACUGAGGGAGGCAAGGAGCGGCUAUCGAUUAGAAAAGAAGAAAGAAAGAAAAAAGAGGGGUUAGGGGUGGCUAAGGUUUUUUUUUUAUUCAUUUUUUCUUUUCUUUAACAUCAAUUACUAUUACAUAAACAUUUCACAUUUAGAUUAAUGUGCAAAAAACACAUUUUGUUAUAUAAAUUUUAUAAGUUUAUAAAUUAUCAUUUUUAUAAUAUUAAUAUAAAAUAAAAAAUAAAUAUNNNNNNNNNNNNNNNNNNNNNNNNNNNNNNNNNNNNNNNNNNNNNNNNNNNNNNNNNNNNNNNNNNNNNNNNNNNNNNNNNNNNNNNNNNNNNNNNNNNNNNNNNNNNNNNNNNNNNNNNNNNNNNNNNNNNNNNNNNNNNNNNNNNNNNNNNNNNNNNNNNNNNNNNNNNNNNNNNNNNNNNNNNNNNNNNNNNNNNNNNNNNNNNNNNNNNNNNNNNNNNNNNNNNNNNNNNNNNNNNNNNNNNNNNNNNNNNNNNNNNNNNNNNNNNNNNNNNNNNNNNNNNNNNNNNNNNNNNNNNNNNNNNNNNNNNNNNNNNNNNNNNNNNNNNNNNNNNNNNNNNNNNNNNNNNNNNNNNNNNNNNNNNNNNNNNNNNNNNNNNNNNNNNNNNNNNNNNNNNNNNNNNNNNNNNNNNNNNNNNNNNNNNNNNNNNNNNNNNNNNNNNNNNNNNNNNNNNNNNNNNNNNNNNNNNNNNNNNNNNNNNNNNNNNNNNNNNNNNNNNNNNNNNNNNNNNNNNNNNNNNNNNNNNNNNNNNNNNNNNNNNNNNNNNNNNNNNNNNNNNNNNNNNNNNNNNNNNNNNNNNNNNNNNNNNNNNNNNNNNNNNNNNNNNNNNNNNNNNNNNNNNNNNNNNNNNNNNNNNNNNNNNNNNNNNNNNNNNNNNNNNNNNNNNNNNNNNNNNNNNNNNNNNNNNNNNNNNNNNNNNNNNNNNNNNNNNNNNNNNNNNNNNNNNNNNNNNNNNNNNNNNNNNNNNNNNNNNNNNNNNNNNNNNNNNNNNNNNNNNNNNNNNNNNNNNNNNNNNNNNNNNNNNNNNNNNNNNNNNNNNNNNNNNNNNNNNNNNNNNNNNNNNNNNNNNNNNNAUAUAUAUAUAUAUAUAUAUUUAUAUAUAUUUUCUAUAGCUCUAGGUCAGAUUUGCAUGAAUACAUAGAUAUAAUAAAAUGAUAUUUUUUAAGCAAAAAUAUUAAUCAGUUUAAUAUAAAACUUCAAUCUUAAUUUAUAUAUAUUAGCUAAUUACAAUUAAAACGUAAAUAAAGUAAUAUAUAGUUUUAUAUGAUUUUUAUAUCUUAUCAUGGUUUUUUAUAAAAUAUAAAAUUUUACAUAGUUAUUUUUUUCAAUUUUGGAAUAAUAUAACAUUACCCUAAUAUGGUAUUAUUAAUCAAUAUUGUAUGAUUCAUUAAAGUUAAAAAAAUUAUACAAAAUUACUCAAAAGAAAACAUAUUUAAACUUUAAAAAAAUUUUACUUCAAUAACUAUGUAUUUGCUUUUAGUAAUAUCUAAUUUUUUAAAAAUAAUUAAUAAAAUUUAUAAAAAAUUUUAAAUUUUAUAAUUGAAAAAAUUAUGAUUAUUUCCAACGAAAAAUUCCGUUGGAAAGUUUAAAAAGUUAUAAACGCUUUAAUGCAUUAAAAAGUUACUUUCCAAUAGAAAAUUUCGUUGGAAAGUUACUUUUUUCAAUGCAUCAUUUACUCUUUAACUUUUUCAACGGAAUUUUUCGUUGAAAAUUCUGUUGGAAAAGUUAAAGAUUAUAUAAGAAAUGUUUAGGGUUCUAAUGAAAAAUUUCGUUGAAAAUCCGUUAGAAAUAAUUAAAAGUAAAACGUGUGUUCUGAAAAUAAAAUUUUCAACGAAAAAUUUUGUUGAAAAUUUCAUUGGAAACUAUCAAGAUUACACCCUUUUAGUUUUUAAGUUUAAAGUUUCAACGGAUUUUCAACGAAAAAUUUUGUUAAAAAUCCGUUAGAAAUAUAAAACAGUAAUAUGUGUGUGUUGUACAAGUCAAAUUUUCAAUGAAAUUUUUAACAAAAAUCUGUUGAAAAUCCGUUAAAAAUCAAUCGAAACAAGUAUUUAAAAAUUUUAAUUAAAUUUCGUUGAAAAUCCGUUGCAAAUUCGUUGCAAACGGAAAUUUCCAACGGAAUUUUUUCCGUUGGAAAUAUAAUGAUUUUUUGUAGUGGCUGUUUGUUAUUUACGAGAGUGAUUAAUCAGAAAAGCUCGAGCAUGACGAGAAAAGCUCCGGAAGUUAGCGGUGCAAGGCCUUUUCUAGGUCACCUCCAGCUGCUAGGAGGCUCAAAACCAGCCCAAGUCGUUUUGGGUGACUUGGCUGGCACAUACGGACCGAUCUUCACCAUCAGGCUAGUAAUGCAGUCAACUCUAGUCGUAAGCAAUUGGGAGAUUGCUAAAGAGUGUUUCACCACCAACCAUAAAGCAUUUGUCAAUCGUCCAAGAACUCUAGCUGCAGAGCUCUUGGGUUACAACUAUGCCAUGUUCGCCUUCAGCCCUUACGGCCCUUACUAGCGUAAUAUUCGCAAGAUAGCGACGCUCGAGGUAGUGUCGUACCACCGCCUCGAGAAGCUCAAACAUAUACGAGAAUCCGAGGUUAGGACCUCUAUUAAGGAACUUACGAUUUAGGGGUUAAAGGCAUAAGCAAUAGUAGUUCAAAAAAGGUGCUUGUGGAGAUGAAGAGAUGGUUUUGGACCUUAAACAUAAACAUGGUUUUGAAGAUGGUUAUAGGGAAGAGAUACUCUGAGGUUGAAGCUUCGCACGGGAAAGACGACAACGAUAGAUGCAGAAACGCCGUAAGGAAUUUUCUUGAGUUGACAGGAACGUUCACGGUUGGGGACUCGCUGCCUUUCUUGAGGUGGUUAGAUCUGGGAGGACAUGAGAAGGCCAUGAAGAAGACGGCAAAAGAACUAGACCAAAUCCUUGAAAAAUGGUUAGAGGAGCAUCAGCAGAAGAGAAAUUCAGGGAACGUGGAAGUGAGCAUGACUUCAUGGGCAUGAUGUUGUCGCUUCUUAAAGAUGCUGCAGAGCUCCCUAGCUAUGACUCUGAUACAAUCAACAAAGCCACGUGCCUGGUGAUUUUUACCUAACCUUUGCUCCAGAAUCACAUCUUUUCCUGUUUGUUUUUCUGGUUAAUCACAAGACCACUCCAAUCAUGAUCCAACUCAGUUGUCAGACUAAAACCAGAACCAGGAUCAAUCAAAACUCAAAAACAGAAAACUACCACAAGUCCAAGAAGUUACCAUCACAAACCAUGUGGCCAUAACAUUUGCUCAUACAGAAGAGACAAACCCACUCACUAGUUAAUUACCUACAAAAGAUUUCCCCAUUUCCCUCAUAGUAUAGCAAAUGGAUUUUCAUCUAUUCCCACCAAUUCCAGUCGUAAUUGCAACUGUAUUUGCCUUUCCACUCUUUCUUUUCUCACUUCUAUGGGUAUCAAAGAGUGUCAAAAACAGAGACAAAAAGAGAGUAGCACCUGAAGCUGGCAGCUCAUGGCCUGUAAUCGGCCAUCUCCACCUCUUAGGAGGGCCGCAACCUCCCCACAUAGUUCUCGGAGACAUGGCAGAGAAAUACGGUUCUAUCUUCACCAUCAAGAUGGGUGUUUAUAGAGCUUUGGUUGUCAACAAUUGGGAAACUGCCAAAGAGUGUUUAACCACAAACGACAAAGCCUUUGCCUCUCGUCCGAAGACUCUUGCUAUGGAGUUCUUGAGCU
rnacentral:lncRNA from 1 species